rnacentral:lncRNA from 1 species
CUCUCUGCAGGUGCUGCUAUCACCACAGAGCAGCCCGAUUGCGGCUGGCGUGUGCCUGAGCUGGCUGUCCCUCUGGCCACAUGUCCGGUGCUACAGGGUCUUCAAGGGUGUGUGGGGCUGGGCAGCAUCCGCCAGGCCCAGGCCCCGGGAACUGAAGGUGUUUCCUCCACGUCAGCCUCUGCACCUCCUAAGCACACACCUGCUGCAGGUGCCGGGAGUCAGUGCCUGAGACACCUGAGGACGCCUCCUCCUUGAAGGCUGGAGUCGACUGACUGCAUCUUGUACUGAUUUUGCGGGGAUUUCUGGUCUUUUUUAUCCAAUGCACGCUGGUCCCCGCCGCUGCUGGAGUGAGGCUGGUUGUCUCUGAGUGGGCUCUGCACCCUCACAGCAGGCAUCCUGACCCCUUUCUUUCCCACUCCAAGCUCACAUGCUGGAUCCCGCACCACAGACAGCCCCGAGGCCGCGCUCACAAGACCAGAUGGCCAGCUCGCCAUUUCUACCUUUCGGUGUCCAGGAGUUUUUCUUUUGUCUUUACUUGUUUAUUGAGGAAUGAAGAGUCAAUGAAGACUGAUCAAGACACUGCCUUGAAAGGGUUUCAUGGGCAAAGAACAAAAGCAAAUCAAAGGGUUCAUCCAGGCAAGGGGCUGACGCUCUUCCCCUGUUGGGGAGGAGGAACAGAUGAGGGCGGGGAGGACACAGCCCAGGACUCACAAGGCCCUGCCGUCCACAUUUCCUGAGAACUGCGAAGCAUCGUGCAGCCACGAGUUUCCCCAGACACCAGCACCCAUCCCCAGGCCUGCGGGUCAGUGAUUCUAGCUCAUCUGAUGGGCCGUCCAUAGGGAAGGGAUGGGCCCGCAGACCUGCCUGUUUGGUUGAUUGAAGUGGGACCUCUUUCACGACGAACGCCAGAUUGAAAUUCAUCACAGCAAAUGCCUAAGUUUGGAGAACAAUAUAUUUAUAGUGAGCUGAUUAGAUAUCAGAUGCACCUUUUCUCAACAAGUCGUUCUCUCACCCGUCUGAUUUCUAACCUCCUGAAGAGCAAAACCUGUCACCGACCCAGGAGCAGCAGGCAGAAGAGAAAUUCCAAAACAUCCUGAAGAGCAAGAGGCUCUGUGGAAAAUACCAGGGCUUGUGCAGGCGGGGGAGCUCACCGCCCUGGGCCAGAAGCCCCUCACCUGGAGGCAGCGGGUGCUGCCCUGAGUCAGGGCCCACAGGAGGCUUCUGGGCACAGACACACCCUGCAGAGAGGGUCCUGCUGGAACGCUUUGACAUUUCUAGGAUCUGGACUGUCCACGGGGAGAGACCAGGAGGGCAUGAGAAAUACGCUGAGUUGGGGCCGGGUGCAGUGGCUCAUGCCUGUCAUCCUAGCACUUUGGGAGGCCAAGACGGGUGGAUCACAUGAGGCUAGGAGUUUGAGACCAGCUUGGCCAGCAUGAUGAAACCCCGUAUCUACUAAAAAUACAAAUAUUAGCUGGGCUUGAUGGUGCACACCUGUAGUCCCAGCUACUUGGGAGGCUGAAGCAGGAGAAUCACUUGAACUUGGGAGGCUGAGGCAGGAGAAUCACUUGAACUUGGGAGGCUGAGGCAGGAGAAUCACUUGAACCCAGGAGGCGGAGGAGGUUGCAGUGAGCAGAAAUCGUGCCACUGCUCUCCAGCCUGGGCUACAGAGUAAGACUCUGUCUCAAAAAGAAAAAAAAAAAGAAACACACUGAGUUGGAACUCACUAUAUCACAAACAUUGAGGCCUACUUGCAUAACACAGUUGUUCCAAGCAACAAAUGUCACCAAAUGCACGCACUGUCGCCCAGUGUGACGUUUCUAAGGUGAAUGCACAAUGCGAGGACAUGGAAGCCUGGAGGAUGCGGGAAAGGCGCGUGUGGCCUGUGCUGGGCACCUCCCAUCAGCCAGAUGCACCUGCGCUCCUGGAGGAUGUAGGAAAGGGGCAUGUGGCCUGUGCUGGGCACCUCCCGUCAGCCAGACGCUCCUGCACUCCCACCCCGGCCAUUCCCUUUCCUUUCUUCCGCCAACUCUUCACAUAGCCCAUGAUUUUGGGGGGAAGAAUUAUUUACCAAAUUUUUAAAUCCAUUUUUUCUUCCUCAAUCUAGACUAAUUUCUCAGGUCUGAGGCCUGGAAAGCUUUAUUCCCCAGGCCACUGAACUGCCCUCCUGGAGAGCGGGCCAGUGCUAUGAUUGCCUCUGAGGCCGUUUGAACCUGGAGCUCCCUUUCCUCUCCUACUAAAAUCCAGAAGAACGAGAGGUAAAUAAACAAGGCUCUCCCAGACAGCAUGGGGCAAUGAGCCUGUUUCCUGAAGUCCCAGUGGCCACACAGCUGAACCUUGCAAACUUCUUAUCAAACUCUCAGCCCAAGAACAAUUAGCCAGGAUCAACACCCCAGCAAAGGUCAUUUGGGUUUGGAUUACAAAUUGCCAUCACCUCAGAGAAGAGGAGAGGGGAUCUGUUUGAGAAGAAUGUUUCUCUGCAGCUAAGGAUUAGCAGGCAUCCACAAGCCCGCCCUGCAGAGAUCUUCGAAAGAUACCUCAGUAUACACUGCCCACAGUUAAGAAACCACGACCUGAGACAUUGUUUUGAAGAGGUGAAAAUGCCUCCACUCAAGUGGCCCAGGAGCGUGAUCCAGGAAGACGAACACACAGAACCAUCUUCUGCAUGGUUUGAAAAUUCAGUGGAAACUAGUAAUGCCUAUGCGGGUUCACUGAUGAGAGGGCCCUAUGAGCCAUCCAGAGAAAAGCUGCCAUAUUUCCCUUCCAGAAGACCUGCUUGCAGGCCUUGAAUUUUGAGAGUGUGGGGAAAGCAGUCAAGCCCGCGCGGAGCGAUUGUGAGGGGCUCUGCUGGAAUUUGGCAGCGCGGAGGCUUGGAGAGAAGCCCCAUGCUGGCUCCCAUUCAGCCGGCCCGUUUUCCUCGAGCUUUGGAAGUUUCACUCAGCCGUGCACUCAAUGGCUUCACAAAGCUGAUUACAAGCUUCAGCGCAUUCCUGAAGGAGCCAAAAGCGACGCAGUCUCCAUCACAAUCACUUAUCUGGAAACCUGCGGUUGGAUUAAUCGUUAUAUUCCCGAGAUGAGCGUCGCUGCAAUCCGCAGCGAACGCGGGUAGGGACCUGGAGACGCCUCCCGGGCGCUGGCGGGGCCGGUGUGGGCCAGCUCCGCUACCGCCUGAGACGCGGUGUGCCCAGGUGUUGGUGCCCGCGGGAGAGGGCUGUGGGGCGCCUUCCCCAGGAUUUGCUUGACUUGCUUUUCGCUCGAGUGGGUGGUGCGCGGGUGCGGGAGGCGGAGGGAGGAGGAGGGGUGAGGGGAGGAGGGCCUGUGGGGCUGCGGACCCGGAGCAGCCUGGGUGGAGCGCGGCCUCGGGAGGCCCUGGGUGCAUCGCGGCGGGGCCUGGGGGGGCCCAGGCGCCGGAGGAGCCGUCGGUGCCGGAAUGCAGCGUGUUUCACUUGGGAGAAACGUUGCCCUCGGUCCCUUGCCUCCCUCCUGUUGUCUCGGUUUUUCUGGCUUCGUCCUUCGUCCCACCCACCCGUUCCCACCUCAGGUCCCUCCCCCAGGAUCCCCUCCUUAAGGAUCCAGGUCUCUGAAAAUUAUUGGCAACAGUUACACGCCCCACGAUUGAAAUCCACAAGAGAAGAGUCCCAGUUCUGCAGGCCGCUCCAGGGCUAGGGGUAGAGAUGGUGGCAGGUGGUGCGUCAACUCUCUAGGGAAGAGGAACUUGCAUUACAAAGACUUGUCUUUCUGAGCUGAAGUCAAAACGGGGGCGUCAAGCGCGCUCCGUUUGGCGGCGGUGGAGGGGCCGCGCGCCCGCGCUGUCCCAGCCGGAGCUGCCCUGGCUGGUGAUUGGAGGUUUAACGUCCGGAAUUCAGGCGCUUCUGCAGCUCAGAUUUGCCGGCCAAGGGGCCUCAGUUGCAACUUUUCAAAAUGGUGUUUCUGGAAAAUAACAAAUUCAGACUCAACUGGUGACAGCUUUUGGCUAUAGAGAAUGAAACUGCUUCCCUUUGGCGGUGGAACUCUUAAACUUCGAAGAGUGAAAGAAUACAAUGAAAUAAAAUGCCAUAAGAUCACUGGAUUUUUCAGAAAAAGGAAGACCCCAAAUUACUCCCAAAAUGAGGCUUUGUAAAUUCUUGUUAAAAAUCUUUAAAUCUCGAAUUUCCCCCUACAACAUCUGAUGAGUGCUUUAAGAGCAAACGAGCAAAUCCCACCUCGAGAAUCAACAAACCCAAGCUCUGGCCAAGGCUCUCCCCGCGUUUUCUUCUCGUGACCUGGGGAAUGUCCCGCCCCAUCGCUCACCUGGCUCUUGUCAUCUCGCUCAUCUUGAAGUGACCCGUGGACAAUGCUGCUCCCUGCCGCAGCUCC